GCGCUGGCAAAAUCCAGCGCCGGGAUUGCAACCCCGAGGUCAAAACAGAGGCUAAAAAGCAUGAGUAUGUUUUUU
rnacentral:sRNA from 1 species